GGAGGAGGGAGGAAGAAAAGAAAGCCGGGAGAGGAGAAAAGUCAAAGUAGAAGAAAACAAUGGAAAUAAAGCUUUUAUGCAUAGGGAGGGGGGAUGGGAAAAAUAAAAUAAAAUUUAUUAAUAAAAAAAGACCAGCGAUUCUGCCACCUGCCUCACAAGCACAAGGUCCCAAAUUCUAUCCCCAGUACCAAAAAAAUAAAAAAAUACCAACCUGAACUACAUAGUGAGACCCUGUCCUAAAAAACAAAGCAAGACAAAACAAAACAAAAUAAAACAAAACACACAUGCAUACAAAAAAGUCAAUCGAGAGAUUCCCUCCCCCCCAUUAUUUUGCUAUGGACCUCUUUGGCAGCCUGGUGAAGCCUAGGAACUUCUGGAGAUCAAAUCUUGUUUUGUUUUGUCUGUGGUACUGGGAAUUGAGCCCAGGGCCUUUGCACUGGACUACACUGCUCACUCUGUUUUUUAUUUUUAUUUCUUUUGAGACAGGAUCUUGCUAAAUCGACCAAAUAUAACUCAGACUUGCAAUUCUCCUGCCUCAGCAUCCCAGAGGGCUGGGAUUUGUGAUGUGCACCACUAUGCCCAGCUCAAAUGUUUCUAAAUGUAUGAAGUACAUAUGAUUGCAAAAGACGCCAGUUAUGCUGCAAUAUGGUUUCCAUAACACCGAAGAAAGUUAUGACACACUGAUGCGCGUGCACACUGCAUUACAAAGGAAGGUCCAUGGCCAGUAAGCCACCGGGCUGUUCAAGAGGCAGUGAGUGUUAAUGAUGUCCUGAGGUGUCCAGACGACCGCCUUGCCAGAUGUGACCGCCUCUAGGGACAAAGUCACAGUAACUGUUCCCACUGUACUGUACUGUUUACAUCCAUUUCUGCUCGAGGCAAAAAUAAAGAGGCAUCGUCUUCAAAAUGAAAAAGAAGACGUCAACGAAAGCUUACACGGGUGCAGUAUAGAAGAACCAGGACAGAGGGGCUGAAGAUUGAACGUCUCAGUCAUCCAGAUUCAAAACGUUCAAAAUUAAAAGUCUGUAUUUUCAUAUCUGAGGUAUCAGCCAAGAAGUCAGUCAUUUUAUUCAAGGAACAAUCUUGGAGCAGGAAGCAGAAUCCAAGCAUCCAAGAUUGGUCUGCAAGGGUGUCAGGCAAUAACCAAGGCCUCAAAGGAAAUAAUACAGAACUGGCAACAUCUUCCACACAGAAGCCACACAUCUUAUGUGCUUGCAACAUGGAAAAGCCUAAAGAAUACAACCCAAGAGUUGAGAAAACAAAAUGGGAGGUAGAAUGGGAAAGCCCUACUGAAAUCUUGACUUCCAAUUUGCUCCAAUUGUCACUUCCUUUGACAGUUGAAGAGUCAGCAUUCUCUUUGUUAUCAAUGGACUACUAAGC
rnacentral:lncRNA from 1 species